CCUGUAUGAUCAUGUGAUCUACAGGUAAGAAUUCAAAUUAGUUUGAUCUUCAUUUGUACAAAGACUUGCAAUUUUUUCCUGAGAAUUUUUCUGGAGACAUGAAAUAUGAAAACGUGUUAGGAAGAGUUUUAAGUUCUUGGAUAAUUUGAACUUUAAGGAUUUUAAGCCAUCUCAAAUCUAGAUUGGUAUUCAGAUACAUUUUGGAAAGCCAGACAGUAUAUCAACUCCAUUAGACAAAAGUUGAUUUUCACCUGAUAGUCGACCAAGUGAAUACAGGAACCCAACAACUGAGCAGAGAGUAGAACAAUAUUGGAUGACCCUGAAGAGCAAUGUCUACAGUAAGAUAGCUACUAAGUAUAUUUGUGAUUACCAAAGAGUAUAGUAAGAACCUCUCCUAUAAUUAUACUUGAGUUCCUACAAAGAUGUAUAGGUAUACAGUAUUUAUUAUUUCUGUCUUUAUGUGUGUUUGUCUUUGAGGAAAAUAAUGUGGUAUUAAUGCCAAUGAGAUAAAAAAAAACACAAAAAAACACAGAACAAAACAACUGAAAUACAUGUACCUUAAAUAUAAAGAAUCAACACCCUUCUAAUCAUUUUAAGUAUCUAUGCGGAUUGAAUUCUUAACAUGGUAAUAAAAAAAAACUACAUUGAACAGUAAAAACAUUUUUUUUUUGUGAGAAAUCGUUAAUUUCAAAAGUAUUAACUGGUGUAAUUUGACACAGAACACCUUGGAACACAAAACAUAUUCUACCUCACAAAAUUAACUCGUAGACAUCUUAUUUAACAUUUUUUUCAAUGAAGCAGCACACAGUGUAAUCAAGAAGGUAUCCAUGUCCUAGAACAUCUUGGAAUAGCUUAUCCUCAAAAAUUCAAACAGUCAAGUAUAAUGAUUAACAAGAUCAUACACAAAAAAGAAAGACACCAAAGAGCCAAUCUAAAACCAUGUGAUGAGAAAAGACAACACAACAUAUAACCAAAAGAAAUGACUGAAAAUUGUCUACAAUGAUAACUAAAACUGUACAGCACCAACCCAACCAAAGUCCAGAGAUGAACUAGGUCAAAGAGCACCAACCCAACCAAAGUCCAGAGAUGAACUAGGUCAAAGAGCACCAACCCAACCAAAGUCCAGAGAUGAACUAGGUCAAAGAGCACCAACCCAACCAAAGACUUGAGAUGAACUAGGUCAAAGAGCACCAACCCAACCAAAGACCUGAGAGGUUCUCAAGACUCCAAGCACCAACCCAACCAAAGACCAGGGGUGAUCUCAGGUACCACACACCAACCUAACCAAAGACCAGGGUUGAUCUCGUGCACAAAGCACUAACCCAAACAAACAGGAAUGGUCUCAGGCACCACAGAACGGUAGCACGUAUUUGAUAUGUUAAUUAAUUUACAAAAUGGCAAAGUUAAAUGUUUUUUUUUUCAUUCAUUGCUCCAUUUAUACUAUAAAAAAAUUGUCAAA